rnacentral:rRNA from 1 species
UUGGAGGGCAAGUCUGGUGCCAGCAGCCGCGGUAAUUCCAGCUCCAAUAGCGUAUAUUAAAGUUGUCGCAGUUAAAAAGCUCGUAGUUGAAUUUCGGGAUUGACGUGAUGGUCAUGCCUUAAGGGGUAUGAACUGUCACUGUUGAUUUCUCACCUUCUGGAGAAACUUGAUGUCCUUUAUUGGGUGUCUUGCGGAUCCAGGACCUUUACCUUGAAAAAAUUAGAGUGUUUAAAGCAGGCAUUUUUGCUCGAAUACAUUAGCAUGGAAUAAUAGAAUAGGACGGCAUGGUUCUAUUUUGUUGGUUUCUAGGAUUGACGUAAUGAUUAAUAGGGAUAGUUGGGGGCAUUAGUAUUCAAUUGUCAGAGGUGAAAUUCUUGGAUUUAUUGAAGACUAACUACUGCGAAAGCAUUUGCCAAGGAUGUUUUCAUUAAUCAAGAACGAAAGUUAGGGGAUCGAAGACGAUCAGAUACCGUCGUAGUCUUAACCAUAAACUAUGCCGACUAGGGAUCGGAUGAUGUUAAUUUUUUAAUGACUCAUUCGGCGCCUUACGGGAAACCAAAGUGUUUGGGUUC